CUUUAGCUCAGUUGGAUAGAGCAACUGCCUUCUAAGCAGUAGGGCGAGGGUUCGAAUCCCCCAAG
rnacentral:tRNA from 1 species